rnacentral:rRNA from 1 species
AACGUAGGAGACAAACGUUAUCCGGAGUUACUGGGCGUAAAGGGCGUGUAGGUGGUUACGUAAGUCUGGCGUGAAAUUUCUCGGCUUAACCGAGGCAGGUCGUCGGAUACUGCGAGGCUAGAGUACGGAAGAGGCGAGUGGAAUUCCCGGUGUAGCGGUGAAAUGCGCAGAUAUCGGGAGGAACACCAAUUGCGAAGGCAGCUCGCUGGGACGUUACUGACGCUGAGACGCGAAAGCGUGGGGAGCAAACAGG